rnacentral:snRNA from 1 species
UUGCUCUCUUUGGCAGCACAUAUGCUAAAAUUGGAACAGUACAAGGAUUAGCAUGACCCUGGCACAAGGAUCACGGUAAAUCCAAGAGUCUAGCUAUCUGUAC